UCACUGCUGGUUUCCUUCCCGUCACCCAGCCCACUCUCUUGAGUUCUAGCCAUUCUUUGAAACUCGACACCCAUAUUUUUGUUGAACAUUAAACAUUUCGUCGAUGGAACACUAAGGUGAUUCAAGUACGUGUCCUUAUCCUCUCUGCAACAUCGUGCCUUCCUUUCAUUUUAUUUGCCAAUCGUUACAGCGCGAAUCAUUAAAAAACUGUGCAUCCUGGUUAAAUUUACGCCCUGCGUAGUAAAAUGUCCAUCGAUCAAGCAAAUCAGCCAAACAUUGGUGGGGAGGACGCUGGGGAGCGUAAGCCAAAUAUUAUAGUGGACGAGCCUUCGGCGAUGUGUAUCCCAGCACUAGGUGGUCCAGCUAACCAGCCCAAACCGCGUGUCCUCGCUACAUCUUUUUUGGUUAUGUGCCCGACGCGUUCAAUGUAAAGUCGCCACUCAUGUCGUUAGAACGAUUUCAACAACCACAACCAGAUGCUGAUAACAAACCCAUGACAAAAAAUAACCAAGCUAAAGAAGAAGUAAACGACUGUGAUGAAGCUCCGGAAACCUUCAAAACGAUUGCCGCCUUCUCAUCAGAAUAUUGCCAGUUUCCGCUCGCGCUGAACGAGCACCUUCCUUCUCAAUUGCUGUAUCGUACAUCCCACGCUGUACACUGGGCCAUACUUUUUUUUUUGUUUUAAAAAGGACUUCUCUGUUCCUGCUGAAGGUCGACGGGGUUACAUCUUUAAGUACUAAAGGAAUUUUGUUAAUAGUUCCAUGAGUGCUAAUAAUGGCUGCAACGGGAAACGUUGUUUCUUUGUCAGUUGGAAGUCUAGAAGUCGCCUACGGCAGUUCACGUGACGGCUUUCCGAACAAAACACACUUCCCCAAUGAGAGUUUUUCAUUGACUUCCUCCUCUUCAAAACCAGAAAAACUGAAGAAACAAAGCGAAAGAAAAAAAUAAUAAUAAAACAACUGCAUACAUCCUCACAAAGCAAAAAGUUAGAAGUAUAAUUUUUUUCGACCAUGAAAUGCUGGAAGUAUCGUCAUGAAAAGGGAAAACCUGGAACAGAU